AAUGAGAGACUCAGAGAGAAAGGAAGAUGAUGUGAAGUGAGAGAUAUUUUUGACAUUUGAACAAAAUUAUAGUAAAAUUACUUAAGCACCCUCUUCGUGCGCACGCAGGCCCAGUGGGGACUGUACGUAGCACGGCUCCCCUGUAUUACUGUAGCGGAAUUUUUGUUGUGGCGGGUCGUAUAUUCGCGGUUAACUUCACUAUUUGCGGCGAUUUGGACUCGUCGCAACUUAUGUUUUCGGCAACAGGAAUUGAAAUACACUUAUGGACCUGUUGCAGCGACAUUUUCCUCGCCGCAUUAAACGAUAACGUCUAAAAUCUAAAGCAAAUGCCCUUGACUCUCUCCGCAAAACUCUGUUCUUCCUGUGAGAAAAAACUCUCUUCGCAAACGAUAAGAAAUUUGUGAUCUUUUUCCUGUCUUCUCGGUGACCCUCGACCUCGACGACACCAAUCACCGUCCACCUCCUGCACGCCGUCGUUCCACGCCUGCCCGGUAAGUCAUCUCUGUCUCUCUUUAUCUUUGGCCGUCUUCUCUCUCUUUCCCUCUCUCUUCCUCCGCAAUCAAAGCUGCUACAGCGUCGCGCGCCACUUCCUCCACGCGGUGGCUAUUUGAAGCAAGCUAUCUCCUCUCCUUUCAAUCCAGGGUGUUUCUUUCCAUCUCCACACAUGUUAAUAAAGUUUUCAAUGAUAUGCGUGAAAAAUCAUGUACCAGACUGAUUCUAAUGAUUAAUGGUAGGUUAUGCAGACUUUGUUGGACGUGCAGUGAUGCCAUUCAUAAAAUAUACAAUCGUUGUGGUGACAUCUGCUUUCAACUCUUGCUGGUGCCAUUGGCUCUGAAAGGGAAUGGUGGUCAUAAUUUUUGUAAGUUACCAGGAACCAUUUUAUAUCAAUGUGCAUCGAGUUCCUUCAAUUAUAUUGGGGAAAUUGGUCGAGAAGAAGUGCAUUCUAGUAGUGCUGCCGACUGCUAUUUAUUGUAAUUGCAGAUGUAUGGAAAAUUACUUUUCAAUUGUAACCUUUUUCAACAAUAUUUGACUUUGAAUAUCUGUAACUUUUUUUAUUUUUGAUAAGUACGAAUAUAUAUCUGGAACUAAAUUCCUGUAAUACCAACUUUCCAUCAACUAUAUAGAUAUAUGUACUUGGCCAUUUACUUCA